rnacentral:rRNA from 1 species
AACGAACGCUAGCUACAUGCUUAACACAUGCAAGUCGAGCGAAAACUUCAUCUCUAGCUUGCUUUUGAUGCGCGUCGACCGGCGCACUGCUUUUUAACUCGUAUCCAACCUGCCCAUUACUUGCUAAUAACCGUUCGUAUGUAAGGCUAAAACCCAAUUAUCUCCCACAUAGGCAUCCGUUUGGUUUGAUAGUUUUUUCGGUGUUGGCUUGGCAUGCGUCUGAUUCGCUAGUUGUCUGGGUAAAUGCACACCAAGGCGACGAUCCAUAGCUGGUCUGAGAGGAGGAGCAGCCACACUGGGACUAAGACACGGACCAGACUCCUACGGGAGGCAGCAGUGGGGAAUAUGAGACAAUGGGCGAAAGCCUAAUCCGGCAAUGCCGCGUGAGUGAUGAAGGCCUUAGGGUUGUAAAGCUCUUUUACCCGAGAUGAUAAUGACAGUAUCGGGAGAAUAAGCACCGGCUAACUCCGUG